rnacentral:rRNA from 1 species
GGGUGAGUAAUGCGUAGGAAUCUACCUAGUAGUAUGGAAUAGCCAUUAGAAAUGAUGGGUAAUACUGUAUAAUCCCUGCGGGGGAAAGAUUUAUCGCUAUUAGAUGAGCCUACGUUAGAUUAGCUAGUUGGUAAGGUAAUGGCUUACCAAGGCUAUGAUCUAUAGCUGGUCUGAGAGGACGAUCAGCCACACUGGAACUGAGAUACGGUCCAGACUCCUACGGGAGGCAGCAGUGGGGAAUAUUGGACAAUGGGCGAAAGCCUGAUCCAGCUAUGCCGCGUGAGUGAAGAAGGCCCUCGGGUUGUAAAGCUCUUUCAAUAGGGAAGAUAAUGACGGUACCUAUA